rnacentral:rRNA from 1 species
UACGAGGGGGGCGAGCGUUGUUCGGAAUUAUUGGGCGUAAAGGGCGCGUAGGCGGUUGGAUAAGCCUUGUGUGAAAUCUUCGGGCUCAACUCGAAGUCUGCACGAGAAACUAUCUGGCUUGAGUGUGGGAGAGGUGAGUGGAAUUCCUGGUGUAGCGGUGAAAUGCGUAGAUAUCAGGAGGAACACCUGUGGCGAAAGCGGCUCACUGGACCACAACUGACGCUGAGGCGCGAAAGCUAGGGGAGCAAACAGG